rnacentral:rRNA from 1 species
UACGUAGGGGGCAAGCGUUGUCCGGAUUUACUGGGCGUAAAGAGCGUGUAGGCGGCAAUUCAAGUCAUCUGUGAAAUCUCCGGGCUUAACUCGGAACGGUCAGAUGAUACUGCUUUGCUAGAGUACAGAAGGGGCAAUCGGAAUUCUUGGUGUAGCGGUGAAAUGCGUAGAUAUCAAGAGGAACACCUGAGGUGAAGACGGGUUGCUGGGCUGAUACUGACGCUGAGGCGCGAAAGCUAGGGUAGCAAACGGG